CGGACGGGUGAGUAACGCGUAAGAACCUGCCCUUGGAGGGGGACGAACAGCUGGAAACGGUUGCUAAUACCCCAUAAGCUGAGGAGCGAAAGGAGGAAUCCACCUAAGGAGGGGCUUGCGUCUGAUUAGCUAGUUGGUGAGGCAAUGGCUUACCAAGGCGACGAUCAGUAGCUGGUCUGAGAGGAUGAUCAGCCACACUGGGACUGAGACACGGCCCAG
rnacentral:rRNA from 1 species